rnacentral:rRNA from 1 species
UACAGAGGUCUGCAAGCGUUGUUCGGAUUCAUUGGGCGUUAAAGGGGUGUGAGUAGGUGGGCGCGCUAAGUCGGGUUGUGAAAUUUCGGAGCUUAACUCCGAAACUGCAUUCGAUACUGGCGUGCUUGAGGACUGGAGAGGAGACUGGAAUUUACGGUGUAGCAGUAGAAAUGCGUAGAUAUCGUAAGGAAGACCAGUGGCGAAGGCGGGUCUCUGGACAGUUCCUGACACUGAGACACGAAGGCCAGGGGAGCAAACGGG